rnacentral:rRNA from 1 species
AUACAGGGGGUGCGAGCGUUAAUCGGAAUUACUGGGCGUAAAGAGUACGUAGGCGGUUGCUUAAGUCAGAUGUGAAAGCCCCGGGCUCAACCUGGGGACUGCAUUUGAAACUGAGUGACUAGAGUUUAAGAGAGGGGAGUAGAAUUCCGGGUGUAGCGGUGAAAUGCGUAGAGAUCCGGAGGAAUACCAGUGGCGAAGGCGGCUCCCUGGCUUAAAACUGACGCUGAGGUACGAAAGCGUGGGUAGCAAACAGGAUUAGAAACCCUAGUAGUCC